GACAGAGGGUGCAAACGUUGUUCGGAAUUACUGGGCGUAAAGCGCGUGUAGGCGGCUUGGAAAGUCGGGUGUGAAAUCCCAGGGCUCAACCCUGGAAGUGCACUCGAAACUGCCUCGCUAGAGUUCUGGAGAGGAAGGUGGAAUGCUUGGUGUAGAGGUGAAAUUCGUAGAUAUCAAGCGGAACACCGGUGGCGAAGGCGACCUUCUGGACAGAAACUGACGCUGAGACGCGAAAGCGUGGGGAGCAAACAGG
rnacentral:rRNA from 1 species